GUGUCAGCCGCCGCGGUAAUACGGAGGGUGCAAGCGUUAAUCGGAAUUACUGGGCGUAAAGCGCACGUAGGCGGAUCAGAAAGUUGGGGGUGAAAUCCCGGGGCUCAACCCCGGAACUGCCUCCAAAACUUCUGGUCUGGAGUUCGAGAGAGGUGAGUGGAAUUCCGAGUGUAGAGGUGAAAUGCGUAGAUAUUCGGAGGAACACCAGUGGCGAAGGCGGCUCACUGGCUCGAUACUGACGCUGAGGUGCGAAAGUGUGGGGAGCAAACAGGAUUAGAUACCCUGGUAGUCCACACCGUAAACGAUGAAUGCCAGACGUCGGGCAGCAUGCUGUUCGGUGUCACACCUAACGGAUUAAGCAUUCCGCCUGGGGAGUACGGCCGCAAGGUUAAAACUCAAAGGAAUUGACGGGG
rnacentral:rRNA from 1 species